CUUUACUAUACGCUGGCAUUGUUUUGUUCGUUAGCGUGCGCAGGAUAGGUGGGAGACUUCGAAGCCUUGGCUUUGGCCUUGGUGGAGUCGACGUUGAGAUACCACCCUCGCAUUCGGACGAAACUCACGCUGUCCCUGAAACAGGGCAGCGGACCGUGCUUGCUGGGUAGUUUAACUGGGGCGGUUGCCUCCUAAAGUGUAACGGAGGCGCACAAUGGUCCACUAGUAUCGGAUGGAAAUCGAUACGGUCGUGUAAUCGCACAAGUGGGCCUGACUGUGAGGCUGACAAGCCGAGCAGGGACGAAAGUCGGUGAUAGUGAUCCGGCAACCUGAGCAUUAUUUAUAGUGCUCUCACCACGUGGGUGGGU
rnacentral:rRNA from 1 species